CUUCCUUCUAUCAUUCCCACAAGGCAGCAGGAGCAGAGAGCAGCCAUUGCUGUGUCUGGCAGCAGCAGGAUUACACCAUACUAAAGAAGACAUCCGGUGAGCGUGAGACCCCCAGCAUCCAUCCUCAUGUUGCAUGUGGACUAAACAGGACCUAGAGCCCCAUCACGGUGCCUCCACCUCACUCACUGACUCACUGAUACAUAAGAGACACAAUGACCAGAAGAUCCUGGAACUCACCAACAAGAUCAUUCAGCUGCUGACUGGAGAGGAGUGGGAGUAUAUAGAGGAACACAGGGGUCUGUACAAGGACGUGAUGAUGGAGAAUCACCGGCCCCUCACAUCACUGGG